UAUCAUAAACAGAUGAACUAUGAGUCAACACAAGACUCAAUUUCCUGCAGAAUACUUGAGAUUGCUGUGUUUCAGAAGCCCGGGAGAAGGGUGUCUCCUGUAUACAAGAAAAAUUUCCUCGUGAUUAAUGCCACAACAUUGAGGAAAAUAGAUUCAAUUUGCCUCUAAAAAAAAUGAACCCAAAACUUUCAGCAGCCUAUAAACCUCUUUUUCAAAUCCCUCAUUUAACUAUCCCUAGAAAGGAGAGAAAACAUGGCUGUGGUAGCUGAUUGUAUCCUGGACCCUUGCCUUUGGUUUUCAAAAUGUAUGAAGAUUCUCUCUUUCUUUUAAAGAACUUGAGUAGGUCAGAACUAAUUACACAAGUACCUACGUCACUCUGUAUAACUGGUUCCCAGGGCGGAGUUUGCCAACACAGCCGGCGAAGUAGCAUAUGAGCAGUGCACACUUGUUUAACAGUCUAGACAGUGGUUCUCAACACUGGGGGGCGUGGCCCCCCCAAUGGCCAUUUAGCAAUGUCUGGAGACAUUUUAGAUGUCAUCCUGGGGGGCUGCUUCCAGCAUGGAGUGAGUGGAAACUGGGAAUAUUGCUCGACAUCCUGCAAUGCACAAGGGAGCCCACUACAAGGAGGAGUUACCUAUUCCAAAUAUGAACAGUGCUGAGGCUGAGAAAUCUGGAUCUGACAUUUUAUUCACACCAUGCCAGUGGUUUUUUCCUUCUAAAUAAUCAAAUGUCGUGUUAACUAAUUAAAAAGCUGGACAGUUGGAUGAGCCUUCAGCCGUUUACCUGAAGACAGAAACAUCAUGGAUUCCACUCAUAGGAGCUGAAAAGGUUCAUCUGCAUCUCUACAAAUGACCCAAAUCCAGCUUGUCAACCUAUCCCAUUCCAAGACCAACUUAUCCUAGCUCAGGAAUCUUACAGUUAGGUCAAAGUCUCUACAACUGAGCAGCUCCACCUUGGCUGCAACACCACCACACUCUUCUGAAGAAGAUGAAAAAAAGG